GCCUACGGGGGGCAGCAGUAGGGAAUUUUCGUCAAUGGGCGCAAGCCUGAGCGAGCAAUGCCGCGUGAACGAGGAAGGUCUUCGGAUCGUAAAGUUCUUUUGAAGUGGAAAAAGAGCGGAGAGAGGAAAUGGUCUCCGAUUGAUAUUACCCUUCGAGGAAGUCACGGCUAACUACGUGCCAGCAGCCGCGGUAAUACGUAGGUGGCGAGCGUUAUCCGGAAUGAUUGGGCGUAAAGGGUGCAUAGGCGGCCUGCUAAGUCUGGAGUGAAAAGUACCGGCUCAACCGGUACAGUCUCU
rnacentral:rRNA from 1 species